rnacentral:sRNA from 1 species
UUUUUAAUUUGUAUUCUUUAACUAAUUUAAGCUAACUAAUAUAUUUGCUAAUCUUAUACCUAUCAAAACCGACUAUCGUUUCUUAUCUUUAUAGUAUUUUUGCAAGACUUUUUUGGUGGAUUUGGGUAAAAGUGCAUUCGGGUCAUAUGGUACAUUCCCCUAUUAAAUAAAAAUGGUAUACUCCUACGUUAUUAGCUAAAAUGUUUAGAUUAUAAUUCAGAGUCAUAUCAUUAAUAAAGUUAAUAUUAAUAUAAUAAAUGGCUUUUUGGCAAGACGGAUUUGGAGUGACGGGUUUUUGAAUCAACAUUAAUAAAAAAGUAAAAUAUAAUUAAUACACCGUUUCAAUACGGGUUAAAUCUUUAAUUUAUUAUUUUUUAAGACCACUAAUAUUAAACAUAUCAAAUCAUCCUAAUUUAGAAAAGAUUA